rnacentral:rRNA from 1 species
GACAGAGGGUGCAAACGUUUGUUCGGAGUUACUGGGCGUAAAGCGAGUGUAGGCGGUUUGGUAAGUCGGAUGUGAAAGCCCCCGGGCUCAACCCGGGAAGUGCACUCGAUACUGCCAAGCUAGAGUAUCGGAGAGGUUGGUGGAAUUCUCGGUGUAGAGGUGAAAUUCGUAGAUAUCGAGAGGAACACCGGUGGCGAAGGCGGCUUUCUGGACGAUAACUGACGCUGAGACGCGAAAGCGUGGGGAGCAACAGG